rnacentral:rRNA from 1 species
GUACAUCAGCGGCGAACGGGUGAGUAACACGUAGGUGACCUGCCCCGAAGACGGGGAUAACUUCUGGAAACAGAGGCUAAUACUCGAUGCACUCAAUAGUUCGUUCUAUUGAGUAAAGCUUAGGCGCUUUGGGAUGGGCCUGCGGUCCAUCAGCUAGUUGGUAGGGUAAUGGCCUACCAAGGCGAAGACGGAUAGGGGGCGUGAGAGCGCGACCCCCCACACUGGCACUGAGACACGGGCCAGACUCCUACGGGAGGCAGCAGUGAGGGAUAUUGCGCAAUGGACGGAAGUCUGACGCAGCGACGCCGCGUGGGUGAUGAAGGCCUUCGGGUUGUAAAGCCCUUUUAUGGGGGAAGAGAAAGGACGGUACCCCAUGAAUAAGCCCCGGCUAACUACGUGCCAGCAGCCGCGGUAAAACGUAGGGGGCAAGCGUUAUCCCGGAUUUACUGGGGCGUAAAGAGCGUUGAGGCGGUUCUGUAAAUUGNGCGUGAAAGCCCCGGGCUCAACCCGGGGAUGUCGUUCAAUACUGCAGGGCUUGAGGGCAGCAGAGGGAGNUGGAAUUCCCGGUGUACCGGUGAAAUGCGUAGAUAUCGGGAGGAACACCAGUGGCGAAGGCGGCCUCCUGGGCUGUUCCUGACGCUGAAGGCGAAAGCUAGGGUAGCGAACGGGAUUAGAAACCCCGGUAGUCCUAGCUGUAAACGAUGGAUGCUAGAUGUAGGGGGUAUAGAUUCCCUCUGUGUCGCAGUUAACGCGUUAAGCAUCCCGCCUGGGGAGUACGGUCGCAAGGCUAAAACUCAAACGAAUUGACGGGGGCCCGCACAAGCAGCGGAGCGUGUGGUUUAAUUCGAUGCUACACGAAGAACCUUACCUGGGCUUGACAUGUAUGUGGUAGUGAAGUGAGAGCGGAUCGACCCUUCGGGGAGCAUACACAGGUGCUGCAUGGCUGUCGUCAGCUCGUGCCGUGAGGUGUCGGGUUAAGUCCCGUAACGAGCGCAACCCCUGUCCUUAGUUACAAGUGUCUAGGGAGACUGCCGGCGGUAAGCCGGAGGAAGGUGGGGAUGACGUCAAGUCAGCAUGGCCUUUAUGUCCAGGGCUACACACACGCUACAAUGGCCGGUACAAUGGGUUGCCAAACCGUGAGGUGGAGCCAAUCCCGUAAAGCCGGUCUCAGUUCGAAUUGUAGACUGCAACUCGUCUACGUGAAGUCGGAGUUGCUAGUAAUCGCGGAUCAGCAUGCCGCGGUGAAUAUGUUCCCGGGCCUUGUACA